CAAAAGAACAAAAACAAACCCGGGUGAAACUGUGUAUUGGAUUUUUUUUUUUAAAUUGUGUGUUUCUUUGUCACCGUGAGAAGGUUUCAUCGGACCUCCAGAACCCCAAGCGAAUCGCUCUUCUCUUUCUCGGUAGGUUUAUCAUGGCCAAUUCCAAGAGGUUGUGUUUGAGUGUUUUCCUUGGGCUCUUGCUUCUAUCCUUUCCACUUGCAACCACCUCUAUGGACCUUCCAAAAGAAGCAGAAAACGGAUGUCUUUGUCCUUGCGCGUGUAACACAUUGCCUACAAAAGUAUACGCACCACCUGAUGGUUGGUGGAUCGUGUCUGUGUUAUCGAUUGUCACUGUCAUAACAUGGACAUUUGGCUUAUAUGCCCUACGUCCUACUCCAACAGUAGUCAGAAACAACGAAGCUGAAAGAUUGGAAGCUGAAAGAUUGGAAGAAAGAAACAGAAACUUUGAAAAAUACUAUGAGUUCCUGAGGAAUACUGCGCACGAAGUUGAGGAAGAAUCUAAAUCCUUAUCAUAAAAGAGCUUGCCAUGAAAGUAUCUUUUGGUAUCAAUUGGAACUCAAUCAUGUGUUACUUUUAAAUCCUUACCAUCAUCACCUACGCUUUUGUAGAAAUCUCUCUAUUGCUGGGAUUCUUUUCUUUAAUUUAAAAAUUAUAUGAUACAGCUUUGGUCUUAUAAGUUUAUGCUUCAA